UACAGAGGCCCCAAGCAUUAUCCGGAAUCACUGGGCGUAAAGGGUGUCAAGGCGGUCGUAUUAGUCUUCCGUAAAAUCCGUGGGCUCAACCUACGGCUCGCGGGAGAAACGGUACGACUUGAGGGUGGGAGAGGUGCGUGGAACUCACGGUGUAGGGGUGAAAUCCGUUGAUAUCGUGGGGAACACCAAAGGCGAAGGCAGCGCACUGGCCCAUUCCUGACGCUCACACACGAAAGCCAGGGUAGCGAACGGG
rnacentral:rRNA from 1 species